UUGUGGUCAGUGACUAGCCUUUUUUUUUUUUUUUUUUUAGAGUUUGCAAAUGGAAGGAUUUAAACCCCAACGCUGGAUCCUGGUUCUCCAAAUGAACCGGCUGAUAGCGCGAGAGACGUGACAGGUCCUCUUUGGCGCCCCCUGUGUCCUCCACCUCUGUUUGCUGUCCCUUUCUGCUCCCGGUCUCCACCCCUGCAGACCCCACUGAACAGUUUCAUCUCAAGGAACCUCCGGCCCGAAGUGAGUACAGGUCUGUAGGCUGAGUUUCAGCCAUUUCUUUCUGAUCGCAGGUUCCUGUCUAAUGCGAUGGUCCAACCGAGGCUGCGGCCAAAUCCCAGCUCUCCCCUGACACAAGGGCGGGUAACCACGCCUUGACGAGUCUUGGCUCCGACUCCAUCGCAUGAGAUCGCCAAGCACUCUUGCUUGCCGCAGGAUGCACAAGAAUAAAGACUUUAGACAAGGUGCCCCGUGUGCCCUUCAAAGGAACACUCCAGGAGUCUUCUGGGGUCGGGCCUCCCCUCUCUGGCAGCCCGUCCACAGACAGAUGGGGGAAGAGGGAGGCAAAAGACAACUAAGCUGACAAAGAGGUGCAAACCCUGGAACGGGACGCAGAUGCAAGUAAUGUAUUUGCAGCGGAUCCCAGGAGACACUGCAGGGGAGGGGAAAGGGGGCCAGGAAAGGGAGCAUUAUAGAGCCACUCCUGCAGAAGGUAAGUGGCACCCAGGCCCCCUGGGGAACCCAGGGAGCCCCUCAGAGUCACCCCAACUGUGGGGCCAGAGGGUUGAGGAAACCGGGCACGUAUCAUCACAUCUCUGUCUUCCCCGCCACUGGCUGAGGGCCGCUUCUCUCUGGCUUUUGUCCCUGGAUAUCAUCCCCGGGGGAUUCUUCUCCACCAGAGCACAGGGCUGGGCAUUUAGGCAGUGGCCGUGGCCCUAGAUGUAGUGGGAACAGACAGGAGUGUCCGUAAGGUGCACACCACGGUCUUCUAACCUUGACUUUGCCUCGGCCUCUGUUUCCUUAAUGGGGCGCCCCCUGCAGCGUCAACCCCCGAUCUGGCCUGCUGACCCUCCUCCUUCAUGUCCCAUGCUGCCUUUCUGGGUCUCAUCCACGACAUCUGAUGCUGACACAGCCGUUCCCACUUCUCCUUUCCUGUCUCAACCUCAACAUCCCGAAAUCUUAUGUUCUGUUUGACCGGGACGCGGUAAGGCCAGGCUCCUUGCCUGCGUGGAGCCUGCGUGUCAUUGAGGUACGCCUUUCAGGGUCCAGUGCUACACCUGUAGGUGAAUUUCCGGGGGAGGGGAGGGGCUGGCGGUGCUCUCUCUGCCACCCAGUCCCGGGCCACGCUGUCUGCCUACUUGGCAGAAGAGAUUGCUUCCGACCCCGGGCCCCUCUGGGGACACCAAAGACGGAUUGACGGGCAUCUCACAGAGGGACACGAGGGUCUUUGGGGGACACUGGUGGCCCCUAGGCAGUAGCCUACCCUUGCCCCCUCCACACCACUGCCUUUUAUCCCCACCUUGUCUAAUCUCCUUCCCUAGCCUCUCUCUCCACCACCCCUUCUUCCCCAGGCAGUCUUUUCUCCUCCUUAAUCUCCACCUCUGGUCUCAACGCCUGGUAGCUCCCAGGCUGUCUUGCCCCACAACGUGCUGCCAACCCAGCCUGGCAAACCAGAGGAAGUAGGUCCAGUAAUCUGUCCCCUGCAUUCUGCCCAGCUGCCCUCUUGUGCUGGGUCAUGUCCCACCGUGAAUGAGGAUGUUGGGCACGACCAUGACCCAGGACACACGAGAAGCCACCCUGCCUGGAUCACCCAAGAGGCCACCUCCUCCCUGCAGCCCUUCCCACUCCACUCUCUACAGCCAGAAAUCAUCCGGGAGAGGCAGGUGUGGGGGCUCUGAGGGGCUGAUGGGGUUUUUUUGUUUGUUUUGCUUUGUUUUGUGUUUUGCAGGGGUGGGGCUCGGGCGUGAGCAAAAGCUGCGGAGCGUCUUAAGGCCUGGCCUCAGAAGUCACCUCGUGUCACCUCUGCUGCGUUGUGAGGGUCGAAGCACGUCACCGAGCCCAGCCACAGCCAAGGAGUCGGGAGAUAGGACACGUUGGUUUAGUUGGAGUGGUGCAGUCACGCUGUGGAAGGCCGUGUGGCCCAGGAUGGGAUGGGGGGGGGGGGGCCUUGAAACUGUAUUUUACCCUCCACCGAAGUACAGGUCUCCUCCAGUCUCUGGCCAAGGGCUUCCUUGAACCCUCUCCCCCAUGGCCAUGUCUUCCGUGCUCCUCGGCCACUCGCGCCCGUGACCCUAACUCCCGGAUCUCGCCGUCAGGGCAUCCGUGGCCCCUCAUACCUUGGCUCCCGGCACCCCAGCCUCUGACCCCACUCCCACCUCUCCUCCCUCCUGUCAUUCGGCACCAACAGGUCCUUGACCUCAGUGGGGCUGUGGGUAUGUCAAUUUUGUACAGACCGUCAGCCUCUAUACUGCCCACCAGCCUGACCCCAUGGGCCAUUGCUCCGGUCUCCGUCCCCCACCCCCUUACCUCCACCCUCAGCUGUCAGGCUCUUUUCUGACCUCGUGGUGUCCACCCAGCAAAAUCCAGCCUCGGGCACAGCCAGCCCCACGCCCGCACCCACGAAGUUGAAUGCGGCUGGAGGGAACCCCGCAGGCGUCCUGCGAGAACUGAGUUGUAACCCACCGUCGGAAGGCGGGGAGGAACGAAGAGGCGAUAACAACCCUUCAGACCCCAGAUCUGAGCCGUGGACAGUUAGGCGUGCGGACCUCUCCCUUCCUCCUUCUAGUCCGAGAGCCGAAUCCGGGCACUGGCUCACGCUGGCUCUUCCCUCCCACCGCAUUCACCACACGUCCAUGAAGUGCCCCCGAUCUCGGUCGCACACCGAGCAGUUACGGGGCUCAGAGGAGCUAGGCAGGGCCCGGAACCAGCGCGAACUCCAGGGGUGGUCUGGGGGCUGCCGCACCCGCAUCACGUGGGAGCUUGUUGAGAAGAAAGGUUCUCAGGGCCUCACCCCGGACCUGCAGAAUCAGAAUCCCCGGGGGCGGGUGUCGGACCCAGAAGCUGUGUUUGGGCAAGCCCUCUGCUGCCUCUUGAGCACCUUUGGAGUUUGAGGAUCCUGUCUAGACACUUGCUGAUUAGCGUGUGACACCAAGACCCGGGCGCUCGUCCAAAACGGCAGGCCCUGGGACCUCACCACGGGCCCCCUGAAAGAGAAACUGCGUUUUCACCGGGCCCCCCAGGGAUCUGUCACGGGCCCAGGGGCUGGAGGUGGCCGACGGACGCGUCCCAGGGCGUAGACGCUCAGGAAGCCUUGGGUGACUGGUUGUCGCACAGAAGGAGCACCCUCGCCGGGCUGCCCAGAUAGGUUCCACUUCCCGGGCCCACGCUGAGGCUCAGUGGGGACGCCCUGGGGCCUGACCUCGCAUCUGGUCCCUACGCUGUAUUAGCGAGGCUGAGGGAGAGUCGCGCCUACCCGUCGCUGGUGGGGGUAGAAAUCCGGUCCCCCUCCCCGGAGGGCUCUUUGGCCAUGUCUGCCGCACCCCAGGCUGGACGGACGGAGCAAAGGCCGUGUGCCCUGGAUGCCGCCAGCAGGAAGGCCCUGGUGGGGAAGAUACAAUGUCUCUGGAAGGAAGCAGGAUGAAUGGCUAAUAUUCCUGGUCCCUGGGGAGGGAAACAGGUGCGCCUGGGGGAGACACCAAGCCCGAGUUUUCACUGUCUGUUACUUUGUACCGCUUGGCUUUUGUACCAAGUACAACUGUUAUCUGCCUGGUGGUUUUCUUUCCUUUUUUUUUUUUUUCAAUAUGUGAAAUUUAUUGUCAAAUUGGUUUCCAUACGACACCCAGUGCUCAUCCCAAAAGGUGCCCUCCUCAAUACCCAUCACCCACCCUCCCAUCCCUCCCACCCCCCAUCAACCCUCAGUUGCCUGGCGGUUUUCAAAAUGGGGUCCAAGGACCCCUAGGGGUCUCCCACACCCAUGCCAGGGGUCCCUGAUGUCUUCCCUUUUCCAGCUACGUCCCUGUGUGCGGCUGGUUUUCCUUCGCAGACUUCAGCCAAAACGAUCACAACAGACGGGGCGGGGGGGGGGGGGGGGGGGGG